CGUACACUCCUACGGGAGGCAGCAGUGGGGAAUAUUGCACAAUGGGCGCAAGCCUGAUGCAGCCAUGCCGCGUGUAUGAAGAAGGCCUUCGGGUUGUAAAGUACUUUCAGCGGGGAGGAAGGCGAUAAGGUUAAUAACCUUGUCGAUUGACGUUACCCGCAGAAGAAGCACCGGCUAACUCCGUGCCAGCAGCCGCGGUAAUACGGAGGGUGCAAGCGUUAAUCGGAAUUACUGGGCGUAAAGCGCACGCAGGCGGUCUGUCAAGUCGGAUGUGAAAUCCCCGGGCUCAACCUGGGAACUGCAUUCGAAACUGGCAGGCUAGAGUCUUGUAGAGGGGGGUAGCAUUCCAGGUGUAGCGGUGAAAUGCGUAGAGAUCUGGAGGAAUACCGGUGGCGAAGGCGGCCCCCUGGACAAAGACUGACGCUCAGGUGCGAAAGCGUGGGGAGCAAACAGGAUUAGAAACCCCAGUAGUCCCAUG
rnacentral:rRNA from 1 species